GGGGGUGUUCUGGAUUCGACUCUUGGUUGGCGUGCGUUGCUGCCGGUCGAGAGUGAAGUUCUCUCGCAAAUCCCACUUCAAAAAAAUAACAGGCAACUACGAAGAAAUGCCCCUGGCUGCUUAAUUAACAGCCACGUUUGUCCACCAACACCUGCUAAGUGGAACGAACGUCGACAGCAGGUAUAGUGCGCGGAGCGACUCGCGGUUUGCGCACCGUAUCUUCAUCCGGGAGUUGGUUGGGAGCUGAGCGCGCGUUCACGCAUAGCCCCGACGAGAUUAAUAUAACGCUAUACCGGUAGAUGCGGCGCGCAAAGGCUGAGAGCACGUGGGUUCAACUCCCACCACCUCCACCA
rnacentral:tmRNA from 1 species